GCGAUCGUAGCUCAGUUGGUAGAGCAAUGGACUGUGACUCCAUGUGUCGCGGGUUCGAUCCCCGUCGAUCGCCCCA
rnacentral:tRNA from 1 species